rnacentral:rRNA from 1 species
GUUUAUCAAAAACAUGUCUUUUAGAAUUUAAUUUAAAGUCUAACCUGCCCACUGAAAUUUUGAAUGGCCGCAGUAUUUUAACUGUGCAAAGGUAGCAUAAUCAUUAGUCUUUUAAUUGGAGGCUGGAAUGAAUGGUUGGAUGAGAUAUUAACUGUUUCAUAAAAAUUUUAAAUUGAAUUUUAUUUUUUAGUUAAAAAGCUAAAAUUAAAUUAAAAGACGAGAAGACCCUAUAAAUCUUUAUAUUUUAUUGGGGUGAUAUUAAAAUUUAUUGAACUUUUAAUUUUUAAUUUACAUUAGUUAAUGAGUUUAUGAUCCAUAAAUUAUGAUUAAAAAAUUAAGUUACUUUAGGGAUAACAGCGUAAUUUUUUUAGAAAGUUCUUAUUGAUAAAAAAGAUUGCGACCUCG